GAUGAACGCUAGCGGCAGGCUUAAUACAUGCAAGUCGAGGGGCAGCAUGGCUGUAGCAAUACAGCUGAUGGCGACCGGCAAACGGGUGCGGAACACGUACGCAACUUACCCAUAACUGAUGAAUAGCCCUCCGAAAGGAGGAUUAAUACAUCGUAAUACGUAUUGGUGGCAUCACCGAAAAGUUAUACCUCCGGCGGUUAUGGAUGGGCGUGCGGCUGAUUAGGUAGCUGGUUGAGGUAACGGCUCACCAAGCCUGCGAUCAGUAACUGGUGUGAGAGCACGACCAGUCACACGGGAACUGAGACACGGGCCCGACUCCUACGGGAGGCAGCAGUAAGGAAUAUUGGUCAAUGGACGCAAGUCUGAACCAGCCAUGCCGCGUGAAGGAUGAAGGUCCUCUGGAUUGUAAACUUCUUUUACAGGGGAAGAAACCCGGAAAUUCUUUUUCGGUUGACGGUACCCUGGGAAUAAGCACCGGCUAACUCCGUGCCAGCAGCCGCGGUAAAAC
rnacentral:rRNA from 1 species